rnacentral:rRNA from 1 species
AGAGUUUGAUCCUAGCUCAGGAUGAACGCUGGCGGCGUGGAUAAGGCAUGCAAGUCGAGUGGGUUUAGGCCCACGGCAAACGGGUUAGUAAUGCAUAGGAACUUUCCUUGAAGUCGUGAAUAAUUCGGAGAAAUCCGGAAUAAUACACGAUGUGCUCUACGGAGUAAAGAUUUAUCGCUUCAAGAGAGGCCUAUGUCCUAUCAGCUAGUUGGUAGUGUAAUGGACUACCAAGGCUUUUGACGGGUAGGGGGUGUGAGAGCACGGCCCCCAACAUUGGAACUGAGAACUGUCCAAACUCCUACGGGAGGCUGCAGUCGAGAAUAUUCCACAAUGGACGAAAGUCUGAUGGAGCGACGCCGCGUGCAGGAUGAAGGCCUUUGGGUUGUAAACUGCUUUUGUAAGGGAAGAAUUUCGAUGACGGUACCUUACGAAUAAGAGGUUACUAACUCUGUGCCAGCAGUAGCGGUAAUACAGAGACCUCAAGCGUUAUCCGGAUUUAUUGGGCGUAAAGAGCUGGUAGGUUGUUAUAUUAGUCAGAUGUCAAAUCUCGGAGCUUAACUCUGAAACUGCAUUUGAAACGGUAUAACUAGAGGAUGUGAGAGAUCUAUGGAACUCAUGGUGUAGCAGUGAAAUGCGUUGAUAUCAUGAGGAACACCAAAGGCGAAGGCAUUAGAUUGGCACACUCCUGACACUGAGCAGCGAAAGCGUGGGUAGCGAAUGGGAUUAGAUACCCCAGUAGUCCACGCCCUAAACGAUGCAUAUUAGGCAUUGAGAGUAUCGACCCUUUCAGUGUCGUAGCUAACGCGUUAAAUAUGCCGCCUGGGAAGUACGGCCGCAAGGCUAAAACUCAAAGGAAUAGACGGGGAUCCGCACAAGUAGAGGAUCAUGUGGUUUAAUUCGAUGGUAAGCGAGAAACCUCACCAAGGUUUGAAACUAGGCUGCAAGACUUAGAAAUAAGUCCGCCUUCGAGGGUGCCUAGCAGGUGCUGCAUGGUCGUCGUCAGCUCGUGUCGUAAGAUGUUCCGUUAAGUCGGGAAACGAGCGCAACCCCUGUCGUGUGUUUUAUAUGUCACACGAUACUGCCCAGACUUUUGUUCAUUAAUUUUGUUAAUGUAUAAAAGUCUGGGAGGAAGGAGGGGAUGACGUCAGAUCAGCAUGGCCCUUUGACACCUUGGGCAACACACGUGGUACAAUGGCCGGUACAGAGGGUUGCCAAGUCGCGAGACGGAGCCAAUCCCAAAAAACCGGUCCCAGUUCGGAUAGGAGUCUGCAACUCGACUCCUUGAAGCCGGAUUUACUAGUAAUCGGGGAUCAGAACGCCCCGGUGAAUACGUUCUCGGAUCUUGUACUCACCGCCCGUCACACCAAGAGAGUCGGUAACACCCAAAGGCCCCGCUUUAAAAUGGGGACAACGGUGGGAUCGAUGAUAAGGGUGAAGUCGUAACAAGGCAUCCGUAGCGGAAGCUGUGGAUG